CCCGCCGGAUUUAAGCAUAUUAAUAAGCGGAGGAAAAGAAAACAACCGUGAUUCCCUUAGUAGCGGCGAGCGAACCGGGAAAAGCCCAUCGCCGAAUCUCGCCGCGCACUUUUGUGUCGCGGCACGUAUGAGAGUUGUGGCGUACGGGCCGGCCUCGUUGCCGGGGCGCACGUGACGGUCCAAGUCUCCCUUGAACGGGGCCAUGGCCCGCAGAUGGUGCCAGGCCAGUAGAGGCCGUCACAGCGUUCCGGGAUCGGACCGCGCCUUCGAGUCGGGUUGCUUGAGAGGUCAAAGUUACAAAAGGAGGGUAAGUCAUGGAUGUCGCUCUGCUGUAGACUGUAUUGCUGUAUAGUAUAGGUUUCAAGUGGGUUAUACUGUAUAAAGGAUGGUAUUAAAUUUGAAUUCAAUGAUAUAUUAUAUUAUUGUAGAGGAACGAAAAACUAUUCUGAGCGGUGGUGGCUUGUCAGUCCGGGGACUAGGAUAUUUUAUAUUGUAUUUAAAUUGUUAUUAUUAUUUUUUAAUACGGUAGCCGGUAAGUUGAAUUAAUAAUAUUAUAAAAUUACAAAAAAAAAAUAAAUUUAAAAUCAUUAUUCUCGCCUUUUGCAGGUUAUUUAAUAGGUUAGAUAAAUAUUAUUCGUCCAAAUUUAAACAUAAAAU
rnacentral:ncRNA from 1 species